rnacentral:rRNA from 1 species
UGGGGAAUCUUGUGCAAUGGGCGAAAGCCUGACACAGCAACGCCGCGUGCGGGAAGAAGGCCUUCGGGUCGUAAACCGCUUUCAGCAGGAACGAAAAUGACGGUACCUGCAGAAGAAGGUGCGGCCAACUACGUG